AGACUUGCAGAAUCACAAGAACAGAGUGGAUAACCUUCCUGAAGUCUCAGAAUGAACCUGAAUCAUAAUUACAUGGAUGUUGAACCAGAGAAAACAUGUGUUUGGACUUUUCUGUCACAGUA
rnacentral:lncRNA from 1 species